rnacentral:rRNA from 1 species
GGCUCAGAACGAACGCUGGCGGCAAGCUUAACACAUGCAAGUCGAACGGACCGUAUACGCAGCUUGCUGCGUGUAUGGUUAGUGGCAGACGGGUGAGUAAUGCAUAGGAAUCUACCUAGUAGUAUGGGAUAGCCACUAGAAAUGGUGGGUAAUACUGUAUAAUCCCUGCGGGGGAAAGAUUUAUCGCUAUUAGAUGAGCCUAUGUCAGAUUAGCUAGUUGGUGGGGUAAUGGCCUACCAAGGCGGUGAUCUGUAGCUGGUCUGAGAGGAUGAUCAGCCACACUGGAACUGAGACACGGUCCAGACUCCUACGGGAGGCAGCAGUGGGGAAUAUUGGACAAUGGGCGCAAGCCUGAUCCAGCUAUGCCGCGUGAGUGAGGAAGGCCUUAGGGUUGUAAAACUCUUUCAGUAGGGAAGAUAAUGACGGUACCUACAGAAGAAGUCG